AUCAAUUAAUCAACCUCACUUCACUUUAAAACGUGAAGAUUGAGGGAAGCAUUUGUUAUUUCCCAUCAAUUCUCACUGAAAAGAAGUCUUACAAUGAGAAUCAGAUUAUUAACCUAUUUUAUAAUACUUGUUAUUGCAAUCAACGUUCUUGGGGCAUAUGGAAGAACAACACCUAGGAGACGUAAACCUGGAAGAUGGGUGUAUCCUUUAGGAUCCCUUUGAAAUCAUUCAGUUAUACUGCCAUUAUGUUAUUACAUUGAGAAAUAAAAGUUAUACAAGCA